UAGGAUAGUAGUUUUUUUAAAGAAAUUAAAGAAAUUGACUGUUAGGUCUAUGAAUCAGUCGUAUGGACGAGGGUUUGAUCCCCUCCAGCUCCACUCACUAUGACGUCUAAGGUGACUUCUAUUGCUAGCAUCUCCCUCGAAGUAAAAUGAUAGGAAAUGCAUAGUAGGUAGGUUAGAUGUAAAUAUCUACUUACUACUGGGGGCUGAAUGAAUUUGACAGCGACAGUGUGAAGUAGAAUAGGUCAAUAAGCAGAUAACUGGCAAUACAAGUUAUAUUAUGAACUAUAGCCGUAUUGCGGCGUAAGUUCAAAACGGCUAAGCUAAUGUCGUAAAAAGCCACAUCGUGUCCCCGUGUGUAACAAAUAGGUUGUAGGGGUUCGGAAGCAUUCUCCUAC
rnacentral:tmRNA from 1 species